ACCAGGCGUGGUGGCACAUGCCUGUAGUCCCAGCUACUCGGGAGGCUGAGGUGGGAGGAUUGCUUGAGUCCAGGAGUUCUGGGCUGUAGUGCGCUCUGCUGAUUGGGUGUCUGCACUAAGUUCGGUAUCAAUAUGGUGACCUCCCAGGAGUGGGCGACCACUAGGUUGCCCAAGGAGGGGUGAACCAGGCCAGGUCGGAGUGGAGCAGGUCAAAACUCCCAUGAUGAUCAGUAGUGGGAUUGUGCCUGUGAAUAGCCACUGAACUCCAGCCUGGGCAACAUAGCAAGACCCCAUCUCU
rnacentral:SRP_RNA from 1 species